AGUCGUAACAAGGUUUCCGUAGGUGAACCUGCGGAAGGAUCAUUAAUGAGUUAUGUUCUUUAUUGAACAAUCAUCUCUUUAAACACAUCUGUGAACCCUCUUUUCUUUUGAUUCUUUACUGAAUCGGACUAAAAGGCACAAACAUUUUUUUAAAUGCUAUAUUUUUUACUUUACAGUCUGAAUUAAAUUUAAACAAAAAAUUAAAACUUUUAACAACGGAUCUCUUGGUUCUCGCAUCGAUGAAGAACGCAGUAAAAUGCGAUAAGUAAUGUGAAUUGCAGAAUUUUGUGAAUCAUCGAAUUUUUGAACGCAUAUUGCGCCCUCUGGUAUUCCGGAGGGCAUACCUGUUUGAGCGUCAUUUAAAAUCUCAAAAGAAGUUUUUUUUUAUUAAAGCUCUUCAUUUGGUCUUGAACAGUAUUCUGUCUUUGGAUCGAAUUCUGUUUGAAAUAUAUUAGUAUAACAUGCUUAGAGGAAAGNUCGAAAGCAUUAUGAUAAACCUUUUAUUGGUGNAUUAAGANUUAUUCUAAAUCAUUGAGAAAGGNAUAUCUAGUUUUCUGAUCUUGCAUAUCUUCUAUUGAAAGUUAUUCUGUAAUCUGCUUUUGCUUAUUUAUAAGUAAAAUCAAUUUCUAUAAUUUUUGACCUCAAAUCAGGCAGGAGUACCCGCUGAACUUAAGCAUAUCAAUAAGCGGAGGAAAAGAAACCANCAGGGAUUGCCUUAGUAACUGCGAGUGAAGCNGCAAAAGCUCAAAUUUGAAAUCUGUCACUUUUAGUGUCCGAAUUGUAAUUUGUUGAAGUAUCUUUGGUCUUGGUCCUUACAUAUGUUCCUUGGAAUAGGAUAUCAUAGAGGGUGAGAAUCCCGUACAUGGUAAGGAUACCUCGGCUAUGUAAAGUGCUUUCUAAGAGUCGAGUUGUUUGGGAAUGCAGCUCUAAGUGGGUGGUAAAUUCCAUCUAAAGCUAAAUAUUGGCGAGAGACCGAUAGCGAACAAGUACAGUGAUGGAAAGAUGAAAAGAAGACCGAAAGGUCAGUGAAAAAGGACGUGAAAUUGUUAAAAGGGAAGCGUUUGGGAUCAGUCUUGGAAUUUAGUGAUCAGUCUUCCUUUUGGUUGGUGCACUCACUAUUUUCUAGGCCAACAUCAGUUUUCGCGGUAGGAUAAUGAUCUUGGAAUGUGGCUUUUUCGGAAGUGUUAUAGCCUUGAUUGAUGCUACCUGCUUAGACUGAGGUCUGCGCAUCUGCUAGGAUGUUGGCAUAAUGAUCUUAAGCGGCC
rnacentral:rRNA from 1 species